rnacentral:lncRNA from 1 species
AAAGCGCAAUUUACAAAGUUUCUGUGAGCCUUUAUUUUCUUUCAAAUUUAUCCUUUUCUUUUACAAACAAGGGACCACUUUCAUGAACCAAAUUAAGCUGCUAAUUAACAUCAUUAAAUUUUGCUACGCAAUAAUAUUAAAACAGAUCAACUUACUUGAAUCCAAAAUAUUGUAAACAAUUAACAGAAAAUUAAGGAAUAACAAAGGAAAUUGAAAACGAGAGGGCAAGAGAUCUGAUGACUUUACCAGCAUCUGAAAACGCAUAAAAU